CCCGGAGGAAACCCAUGCAGACCCAGGGAGAACGUACAAGCUCCUUACAGACAGUGGCUGGAAUUGAACCCAAGUCACUGGCACUGUAAAGCAUUACGCUAACUGCUACAUGACCGUGCCUGCCCACUACAAUUCAGUUCACUUGGGUAUCAAGGUGAAUUUUCACUUUGUAAAGUAGGUUCAGAACUGUGGAACCAAUACCUGAAGGUGGAAUCUCACUCUUCUGUAAUAUUCAACAUACUUAGGAUCCAAGCUGAC